GCUUAGAGAGUGGUCAAUGUCCUAUCAGCUAGUUGGUAGGGUAAUGGCCUACCAAGGCUAAGACGGGUAGCCGGCCUGAGAGGGUGGUCGGCCACACUGGGACUGAGACACUGCCCAGACUCCUACGGGAGGCUGCAGUCGAGAAUCUUUCGCAAUGCCCGAAAGGGUGACGAAGCGACGCCGCGUGUGGGAAGAAGGCCUUCGGGUUGUAAACCACUGUCGGGAGUUAAGAAAUGCAAGGGUGUUAAUAGCAUCCUUGCUUGACUAAGGCUCCGGAGGAAGCCACGGCUAACUCUGUGCCAGCAGCCGCGGUAAUACAGAGGCGGCAAGCGUUGUUCGGAAUUAUUGGGCGUAAAGAGCACGUAGGCGGCUUUGUAAGUCAGUUGUGAAAGCCUUCUGCUCAACGGAAGAACAGCAUCUGAUACUGCAAGGCUAGAGUGCGGAAGGG
rnacentral:rRNA from 1 species